GCCGCGGUAAUACAGAGGGUGCGAGCGUUAAUCGGAAUUACUGGGCGUAAAGCGAGCGUAGGUGGCUUAAUAAGUCAGAUGUGAAAUCCCCGGGCUUAACCUGGGAACUGCAUCUGAACCUCUUCGGCUAGAGUAGGUGAGAGGGAAGUAGAAUUCCAGGUGUAGCGGUGAAAUGCGUAGAGAUCUGGAGGAAUACCGAUGGCGAAGGCAGCUUCCUGGCAUCAUACUGACACUGAGGUUCGAAAGCGUGGGUAGCAAACAGGAUUAGAUACCCUGGUAGUCCACGCCGUAAACGAUGUCUACUAGUCGUUGGGUCCCUUGAGGACUUAGUGACGCAGCUAACGCAAUAAGUAGACCGCCUGGGGAGUACGGCCGCAAGGUUAAAACUCAAAUGAAUUGACGGGGGCCCGCACAAGCGGUGGAGCAUGUGGUUUAAUUCGAUGCAACGCGAAGAACCUUACCUGGUCUUGACAUACACAGAAUCUUGUAGAGAUACGAGAGUGCCUUCGGGAAUUGUGAUACAGGUGCUGCAU
rnacentral:rRNA from 1 species